rnacentral:rRNA from 1 species
AUUCCAGCUCUGUAAGCGUAUACCAAAGUUGUUGCAGUUAAAACGCUCGUAGUCGGAUUUUGGCGUGGUGCUUCUGAGAUGCCUGAUUUUGGGCGUCAAAUAUUGUAGUCCCGCCUUUGUGGAGGGGGGUGUGGUGGUGCUUUAUUGCAUUGCCGCAUUUCCGCCACUGUUUACUGUGAAAAAAUUAGAGUGUUCAAAGCGAGCGAUUGCCAUGAAUACAUUAGCAUGGAAUAAUAGAAUAGGACCUGGUUCUGUUUUAUUGGUUUGUCGGUAUCAGGUAAUGAUUAAGAGGGACGGUCGGGGGCAUUUAUAUUCCAGGGUUAGAGGUGAAAUUCUUAGAUCCUUGGAAGAUAAACAGCUGCGAAAGCGUCUGCCAAGGACGUUUUCAUUA